AUUGAACGCUGGCGGCAUGCCUUACACAUGCAAGUCGAACGGCAGCACGGGUGCUUGCACCUGGUGGCGAGUGGCGAACGGGUGAGUAAUACAUCGGAACGUACCUUAUCGUGGGGGAUAACGCAGCGAAAGCUGUGCUAAUACCGCAUACGCCCUGAGGGCGAAAGCGGGGGAUCGCAAGACCACGCGCGAUUAGAGCGGCCGAUGCCUGAUUAGCUUGUUGGUGGGGUAAAAGCCCACCAAGGCGACGAUCAGUAGCUGGUCUGAGAGGACGAUCAGCCACACUGGGACUGAGACACGGCCCAGACUCCUACGGGGGGCAGCAGUGGGGAAUUUUGGACAAUGGGGGCAACCCUGAUCCAGCAAUGCCGCGUGAGUGAAGAAGGCCUUCGGGUUGUAAAGCUCUUUUGUCAGGGAAGAAACACCGGCUCUAACACAGUCUGGGAAUGACGGUACCUGAAGAAUAAGCACCGGCUAACUACGUGCCAGCCGCCGCGGUAA
rnacentral:rRNA from 1 species